ACCCCUGUACCCAAUCAACCUCCAUGGAUCUUGUCUCUCACUAACCAAGAGCAUCAAUUCAACUCAACAGAUUGACAAAAGAGAUGAACCUAGAGUUUGAGGCUUGGGUAGUGUGGACAUUGACCUGAUGAUGAGUGUUGUAUGGUGGUCAAGUGGUGCCACUUCCCCUCGCCACAUGCUGCUUAGUCUGCUCAUUGAAGGUGCUCUCUGUUGGUGUUUGGCUGCUGCUGCUGAUGUAGGUCAAGGUAUGUACGUAGCAUCUUCUUGCAAAGGAUUUUGUUUUAUGGCUAUAUACAAAUUAUUUUGGUAUAGAUUUGUGAUUUUUGUUCCGUCCACUUAACCCAGUAUAUAGUAGCAGCUUUUGAUGUCCUUUCCUCACCGGCGAAUGUCAAAAUUUAUCAUGUGUGCAAAAAAAAAUUGAAUGUAGUACGAGUACAAGGUUUAGAGAAGUUCGAUCAAAUGGCAAGGCAUUUAUUUUGGGACGGAGGGAGUAUCUCAUAGGCUAUUCCAUUUUAACGUUGCAAUGUCCAUAAAACAUAUAUAAACAUUUUGGGACGGAGGCAUUUAUUCUCGGGGAGUCGUUGUUCCGGAUAUACAUAUAUAAAUCAGGUCUGCACCACCCUUUAUCUUAGCAGAAAUGCUUGUCGCGUCUCUCCUCAUUUUAUUAGGAGUAGAAAAAUUAGAGGAUUGCAAGUGUGAACAGUUCUUGGGCUUGUUGUGGUCAAAGAACUAAAUAUUUUGUUUCUUAUAUAAGGGCAGUGACUUCACUAUGUUAGGCUGGAUGGUUCGAUAUUUAGUAGCAUCAUCAAACUGGAUGCUAGCAAAGUGAUAAAAUUUGGAUGUUUUCGGAAAUAUAGCAUCAAGAGCUGAAUAAGAGAAAAAAUAAUCAAACAUCAUUAUGAAUGCCUUAGGAUAAUGAUUUUACCUUGCGGUUAUACUCUGCAUUGCAUGCCUGGAGAACUAUUGCUUUCAGAUCCAAUUUACAGUCCAGGUUGACCGUCGACACAGUAUUCUUGCCAUCAGAUCAGACACUAGAAAGCAUAGUACACCCAGGAGAAAUCAGACCAGGAAAUAGCUCUGGCUCAUACUGUCAAGCAACCAUAUAAAAAACAUCAGUUCAAAACAAGGAAAGAGACAAGUUCUGGGAAAGAAUGAGAAAAUAUCAUACAUGAUAAAAUAGUGCUGACGGAACAGAAUUCACAUCCUAACCUGGUCGCAUGAUUCAAAUUUAGAUUUUGGCCCAGUAUCUAUUUAAUGUGUACAGUUCACAGAAAUAAUAAUGUUUUGUUUUAUUUCGUUACAAGCCCCGACAAGCCAUGACGCUUGAAGAUAUGGAGGCGACGAAUCUGUGCCGACCCCCUCUUGGUGAUAACUCGGUCGGAGCCACUCUUGGUGACAUCUUGAAAAGGAGUACUCUACAACUACUGCUUCACAAGGGAGGCAAAAGGAACAUAGUCCAUCUUAUAAGCAGUUCAUUACCAAAACUUGAAUUUGCAAAAGGAACUUGAAUGAUCAUUUAAAUUGUGUGGAGUGAUUAGCCAGAAAGAGAAGAGAAAGAAAUGCUUGUAGGAGUGACAAUUAAAAUAAGAUAAUUGUUGGAGUAAACAACACUCGAUUAGUGACAGUUGAGUGACAAUUAAAGAGGGCA
rnacentral:lncRNA from 1 species